rnacentral:rRNA from 1 species
AACGAACGCUGGCGGCAUGCCUAACACAUGCAAGUCGAACGAGACCUUCGGGUCUAGUGGCGCACGGGUGCGUAACGCGUGGGAACCUGCCCUUAGGUUCGGAAUAACUCCCCGAAAGGGGUGCUAAUACCAGAUAAUGUCUUCGGACCAAAGAUUUAUCGCCUUUGGAUGGGCCCGCGUUGGAUUAGCUAGUUGGUAGGGUAAAAGCCUACCAGGGCGACGAUCCAUAGCUGGUCUGAGAGGAUGAUCAGCCACACUGGGACUGAGACACGACCCAGACUCCUACGGGAGGCAGCAGUGGGGAAUAUUGGACAAUGGGCGAAAGCCUGAUCCAGCAAUGCCGCGUGAGUGAUGAAGGCCUUAGGGUUGUAAAGCUCUUUUACCCGGGAUGAUAAUGACAGUACCGGGAGAAUAAGCUCCGGCUAACUCCGUG